AGCACUGCCUCCGGUGAGUGAGGGUGGGGUAGGCCUCCCACCUGGUGCCCAUCUGCUCUCUGACCCUCUUCCUGCCCUCAGGAGCU
rnacentral:pre_miRNA from 12 species